UGAAAAUAAAAGAUGCUUGCUCCUUGGGAGAAAAGCCAUGACAAACCUAGACAGCAUAUUAAAAAGCAAAGAUAUUACUUUACCAAUAAAGGUCUGUCUAGUCAAAGCUAUGGUUUUUCCGUAGUAAAGUAUGGAUGUGAGAGUUGGACUAUAAAGAAAGCUGAGCACUGAAGAACCAAUGCUUUUGAACUGUGGUGUUGGAGAAGACUCUUGAGAGUCCUUUGAACUGCAAGGAGAUCCAACCAGUACAUCCUAAAGGAAAUCAGUCCUGAAUAUUCACUGGAAGGACUGAUGAUGAAGCUGAAGCUCCAAUACUUUGGCCACCUGAUGAGAAGAACUGACUCACUGGAAAAAACCCUGAUGCUGGAAAAGAUUGAAGGCAGGAGGAGAAGGGGACAACAGAGGAUAAGAUGGUUGGAUGGCAUCAUCGACUCGAUGGACAUGAGUUUGGAGAAACAUAUCUCCGUGGACUUAUGAAGGAAAUGGAAAGAAUGGCCAGGAUCCCAACUCCCUUAAGUCAAAAAAGCUUUGAACUUUUGGGAACAAAGUACAUAGUGGUGACCAGGGCAGAGACGGGAAAACCUGUCCUGCCCACUCAACAGGAAGAGCAGAAGACCGAAGACUCUUCUGCACACACUCCUGCUUUGGCUGGGCCAGGCUCAAGAAAUGAAAAUAAGUCACAUUAUUAGCAAAUGCUGUCUUGAUUGAACAUAACCAUUCAAAAGCAGUUUUGGUUAUAAUCCAGUGUCAGCAUUCUUUUACGCUUUUAUAGAAGUAGAUUAGGUGAGGUUCAUGCCAGGUUGGCACCUUGGACCGGG
ensembl:lncRNA